UGGAUUGAUAAUGGCUACUGGUGGCCUAGGAGUUACAUGGGGCAAAUACAUGUCUGGAACUCUGAGUUCUCA
rfam:Myotis lucifugus cont2.47294, whole genome shotgun sequence.